UGCCAGCCGCCGCGGUAAUACGGAGGGUGCAAGCGUUGUUCGGAAUUACUGGGCGUAAAGCGCGUGUAGGCGGUCUCUUAAGUCUGGUGUGAAAGCCCAGGGCUCACCCCUGGAAGUGCAUUGGAUACUGGGAGACUAGAGUACCGGAGAGGAAGGUGGAAUUCCUGGUGUAGCGGUGAAAUGCGUAGAUAUCAGGAGGAACACCGGUGGCGAAGGCGGCCUUCUGGACGGAUACUGACGCUGAGACGCGAAAGCGUGGGGAGCAAACAGGAUUAGAUA
rnacentral:rRNA from 1 species